rnacentral:lncRNA from 12 species
GGUGCCUCAGUGAUUGGGCAGCCGGAGACACGUGACCCGAGCCCGCCAAUCCGAGUGCUCCGAGCCCCGUGCCUCAGAGACCAGAGAAGUGUGGACGCCUGACGUGGCCGGCGCGCGCGAGGCCUGUCCUGGGCUUUUGUGGACUCUGGAGCGGGCGGUGGUCCGGAGUGUCCGUGUCUUUUGUCUCUGGGAGGAGGGGACCUGGAGUUCUCAGCAGGAGCCUGGGAUCCUGUUUCUGGCCAGACUUGGGCCAUGGCAGCUUUGGAAGCAAGUUGCAUCAUGAAAUCACAACUCACAGGCAGAACAAAGGAGCCCUGUGUUCUCACUAUGAAGAUAUGACAUUGGGCCCAAGCCCGGCACGUCUGAGCUGUUUCUCAGCAUUUACCACGUGCAGGACACCAGUCUAAGUGCUUUCUUUCUAACACAUUCAGCGUCUGUAUCAACCGUACGAGGUAGGUGCUGUUAUUCUGUUUUAGAGAGAAAUGAAGCAAAGAGAAGUUAAGUAAUGUACACAGGCUCACACAGCCAGCAGAGCUGGAAUUUGAACCUCAAGAUACUGGCUCUAGAUUUUAUUUUUUAUUAUUUGGGGUGGUUCUAUGUGCCUCUGUAUGAUAACUCCCUCAGUGUCACAUAACCUCAUGAAGCAUGAAUUAUUCCUGUCCUCACUUAUAGAUGGGAAUAUUGAGUCUCAGAGACAUCAGGCCUUUUCAAGAUGACACAGAAGGGAGCAGAGCCUGACUGUAAAGGGCAGAAGGCUGUGUGGGUGGAUUGACCAUCCCCUCCAUCACUAGCUGUGUGAGCCUUGGCCGGGGCAUAGCUGUGUCUUACGGGAUUGUCUGGGAUCGAUAACAGCAUCCAUCGCUCACUCUGAGAGCCUUACUGUAAACACCCCCCUCCUUACUUCAGCUGCUGCAGUAACCCUGAUUCCAUUGCAUAGCCUCAGUUCUAUGGUUGAGGUGGGGAGGCUGUGAAACUUGCCUCGGGUCACACGGUUGGAGCUCAUCCCCUCCUGUAAUGUUGGGCUGGCCCUGCUGUCCACUCUGACACAGAAUGUGCUGGGAGUGACACCUUGGCAGUUCUGGGCUGGCCCCUGAGAGUCCAUCUCACUUUCCUGGAAUCCUGCCACCAAACUACAAGAGGUCCUGGCCAUGCUGAUAGAGAUGAGGUGCCACCUGGCCUGCUGGCCAUCUGCCCAGCGUGUGGGAGAGCAGUUCUUACCCGUCCCCCACAGCUAGCUGAGUGCAUCUGUUCAUGUGUCCCUGCCUGGUCACCCCACACUGGUGGGAAAUGACAUGUUACCCUGGUUUUGACCCCUGGGUUCUAGCAGUGGGCACUGAACCAGGGCCUCUGCUGGAAGCAGGACAGCAGGAGCUGGAAGGAGGGAGCAUCCCUUGUUCACGCCGCAUU